AGCGAACGCUGGCGGCAGGCCUAACACAUGCAAGUCGAACGAGCCCUUCGGGGUUAGUGGCGGACGGGGGAGUAACACGAGGGAACGUGCCUUUAGGUUCGGAAUAACUCAGGGAAACUUGUGCUAAUACCGAAUGUGCCCUUCGGGGGAAAGAUUUAUCGCCUUUAGAGCGGCCCGCGUCUGAUUAGCUAGUUGGUGAGGUAAUGGCUCACCAAGGCUACGAUCAGUAGCUGGUCUGAGAGGAUGACCAGCCACAUUGGGACUGAGACACGGCCCAAACUCCUACGGGAGGCAGCAGUGGGGAAUCUUGCGCAAUGGGCGCAAGCCUGAUCCAGCCAUGCCGCGUGAGUGAUGAAGGCCUUAGGGUUGUAAAGCUCUUUCGACGGGGACGAUGAUGACGGUACCCGUAGAAGAAGCCCCGGCUAACUUCGUGCCAGCAGCCGCGGUAA
rnacentral:rRNA from 1 species